rnacentral:tRNA from 1 species
GGUGAUAUAGCUCAGUUGGUUAGAGCACAGCACUCAUAACGCUGGGGUCGGUGGUUCAAGUCCACUUAUCACCA